rnacentral:rRNA from 1 species
CGGAGGAAAAGAAACCAACAGGGAUUGCCUUAGUAACGGCGAGUGAAGCGGCAACAGCUCAAAUUUGAAAGCUGGCUCCUUUGGAGUCCGCGUUGUAAUUUGUAGAGGAUGAUUCGGCAAGGGCUCCCGCCUAAGUCUCCUGGAACGGAGCGUCAUAGAGGGUGAGAAUCCCGUAUGCGGUGGGCUGCCUAAGCCAUGUGAAUCUCCUUCGACGAGUCGAGUUGUUUGGGAAUGCAGCUCUAAAUGGGAGGUAAAUUUCUUCUAAAGCUAAAUACCGGCCAGAGACCGAUAGCGCACAAGUAGAGUGAUCGAAAGAUGAAAAGCACUUUGGAAAGAGAGUUAAAAAGUACGUGAAAUUGUUGAAAGGGAAGCGCUUGCAGCCAGACUUGUCCGCAGUUGCUCAGCCGGUCUCCUGACCGGUGUACUCUUCUGCGGCCAGGCCAGCAUCAGUUCGGGCGGUCGGAUAAAGACCUCGGGAAUGUAGCUCCUCUCGGGGAGUGUUAUAGCCCGGGGUGGAAUGCGGCCAGCCUGGACUGAGGAUCUCGC